GAUGAACGCUGGCGGCGUGCUUAACACAUGCAAGUCGAACGGAAAGGCCCCUGUUUGCUGGGGUACUCGAGUGGCGAACGGGUGAGUAACACGUGGGUGACCUGCCCUGCACUUCGGGAUAAGCCUGGGAAACUGGGUCUAAUACCGGAUAGGACGACGGUUUGGAUGGUGUUGUGGAAAGGUUUUCGGUGGGGGUUGAGGUCGGGGCCUAUCAGCUUGUUGGUGGGGUAGUGGUUUACCAGGGAGUCGACGGGUAGCGGGCUGGCGGGGGUGUCGGCCACAAUGGGAAGUAGAAUACGGCCCGAACCCUUCGGGAGGGCGGAGGGGGGGAUAGUGGAAAAAUGGGGGAAGGCCGAGUGCGGGACGGCGGCGGGGGGGUUGAGGCCUUCGGGGUUGAAACCGCCUUCCGCUGGGACGGAGCGCGAGUGACGGUACCUGGAGAAGAAGCACCGGCUAACUACGUG
rnacentral:rRNA from 1 species